AUGUGCAUGACUCUUGAUAAUGCUUCAUACAAUGAUUCGAUGAUCAACACUUUGAGAACUACAUUGCUGCCUAAAGGUGUGUUACCAUUGUUUGGAACUUUCUUUCAAGUCCGAUGUUGUGCACACAUUUUAAAUCUGAUUGUCCAAGCUGGUUUGAAACUUAUUGAUAAAUCUGUUGACAAGAUUAGAGAGGGCAUUCAAUAUACACAAUGCUUGAGAAUGCUUUGUAUUUCAAGGAUGCAUUACUGUGGUUUGGUAAUAGGGAUGGCAUAUUCAAGUCAAACUUCUCUCUUACUCAUGAUGAAUGGGAAAAGGUUCGUAUCAUGCAUGAUUUCUUGA
rnacentral:rRNA from 1 species